rnacentral:rRNA from 1 species
GAUGAACGCUGGCGGCGUGCCUAAUACAUGCAAGUCGAGCGAACGGACGAGAAGCUUGCUUCUCUGAUGUUAGCGGCGGACGGGUGAGUAACACGUGGAUAACCUACCUAUAAGACUGGGAUAACUUCGGGAAACCGGAGCUAAUACCGGAUAAUAUUUUGAACCGCAUGGUUCAAAAGUAAAAGACGGUCUUGCUGUCACUUAUAGAUGGAUCCGCGCUGCAUUAGCUAGUUGGUAAGGUAACGGCUUACCAAGGCAACGAUGCAUAGCCGACCUGAGAGGGUGAUCGGCCACACUGGAACUGAGACACGGUCCAGACUCCUACGGGAGGCAGCAGUAGGGAAUCUUCCGCAAUGGGCGAAAGCCUGACGGAGCAACGCCGCGUGAGUGAUGAAGGUCUUCGGAUCGUAAAACUCUGUUAUUAGGGAAGAAUAUAUGUGUAAGUAACUGUGCACAUCUUGACGGUACCUAAUCAGAAAGCCACGGCUAACUACGUGCCAGCAGCCGCGGUAAUACGUAGGUGGCAAGCGUUAUCCGGAAUUAUUGGGCGUAAAGCGCGCGUAGGCGGUUUUUUAAGUCUGAUGUGAAAGCCCACGGCUCAACCGUGGAGGGUCAUUGGAAACUGGAAAACUUGAGUGCAGAAGAGGAAAGUGGAAUUCCAUGUGUAGCGGUGAAAUGCGCAGAGAUAUGGAGGAACACCAGUGGCGAAGGCGACUUUCUGGUCUGUAACUGACGCUGAUGUGCGAAAGCGUGGGGAUCAAACAGGAUUAGAUACCCUGGUAGUCCACGCCGUAAACGAUGAGUGCUAAGUGUUAGGGGGUUUCCGCCCCUUAGUGCUGCAGCUAACGCAUUAAGCACUCCGCCUGGGGAGUACGACCGCAAGGUUGAAACUCAAAGGAAUUGACGGGGACCCGCACAAGCGGUGGAGCAUGUGGUUUAAUCCGAAGCAACGCGAAGAACCUUACCAAAUCUUGACAUCCUUUGACAACUCUAGAGAUAGAGCCUUCCCCUUCGGGGGACAAAGUGACAGGUGGUGCAUGGUUGUCGUCAGCUCGUGUCGUGAGAUGUUGGGUUAAGUCCCGCAACGAGCGCAACCCUUAAGCUUAGUUGCCAUCAUUAAGUUGGGCACUCUAAGUUGACUGCCGGUGACAAACCGGAGGAAGGUGGGGAUGACGUCAAAUCAUCAUGCCCCUUAUGAUUUGGGCUACACACGUGCUACAAUGGACAAUACAAAGGGCAGCGAAACCGCGAGGUCAAGCAAAUCCCAUAAAGUUGUUCUCAGUUCGGAUUGUAGUCUGCAACUCGACUACAUGAAGCUGGAAUCGCUAGUAAUCGUAGAUCAGCAUGCUACGGUGAAUACGUUCCCGGGUCU